CGCCAGACUCCUACGGGAGGCAGCAGUGAGGAAUAUUGGUCAAUGGGCGGGAGCCUGAACCAGCCAAGUCGCGUGAGGGAUGACGGCCCUAUGGGUUGUAAACCUCUUUUGUCAGGGAGCAAAGUCACCCACGUGUGGGUGUUGGAGAGUACCUGAAGAAAAAGCAUCGGCUAACUCCGUGCCAGCAGCCGCGGUAAUACGGAGGAUGCGAGCGUUAUCCGGAUUUAUUGGGUUUAAAGGGUGCGCAGGCGGAAGAUAAAUUCAGCGGUAAAAUUGAGGGGCUCAACCUCUUCGAGCCGUUGAAACUGGUUUUCUUGAGUGAGCGAGAAGUAUGCGGAAUGCGUGGUGUAGCGGUGAAAUGCAUAGAUAUCACGCAGAACUCCGAUUGCGAAGGCAGCGUACCGGCGCCCAACUGACGCUGAAGCACGAAGGCGUGGGUAUCGAACAGGAUUAGAUACCCUAGUAC
rnacentral:rRNA from 1 species